GCCACUUUGGCUCAGUGGGUAGAGCAUCAGCCUGUGGACUGAAGGGUCCUGGGUUCUAUUCCAGGCAAGGGCA
rnacentral:tRNA from 1 species